GAGUUUGAUCGUGGCUCAGGAUGAACGCUGGCGGCGUGCCUAAUACAUGCAAGUCGAGCGAACGGACGAGAAGCUUGCUUCUCUGAUGUUAGCGGCGGACGGGUGAGUAACACGUGGAUAACCUACCUAUAAGACUGGGAUAACUUCGGGAAACCGGAGCUAAUACCGGGAUAAAUAUUUUGAACCGCAUGGUUCAAAAGUGAAAGACGGUCUUGCUGUCACUUAUAGAUGGAUCCGCGCUGCAUUAGCUAGUUGGUAAGGUAACGGCUUACCAAGGCAACGAUGCAUAGCCGACCUGAGAGGGUGAUCGGCCACACUGGAACUGAGACACGGUCCAGACUCCUACGGGAGGCAGCAGUAGGGAAUCUUCCGCAAUGGGCGAAAGCCUGACGGAGCAACGCCGCGUGAGUGAUGAAGGUCUUCGGAUCGUAAAACUCUGUUAUUAGGGUAAGAACAUAUGUGUAAGUAACUGUGCACAUCUUGACGGUACUAAUC
rnacentral:rRNA from 1 species